rnacentral:sRNA from 1 species
CCCGUCCGCACGAUGGGCUCCGAGGCGGCGCAGCUGCUGGAGGCUGCCGACUUCGCGGCUCGGAAGCACCGGCAGCAGCGGCGGAAGGACCCCGAAGGGACCCCCUAUAUCAACCACCCCAUCGGUGGGCGCAUCGGCCGCGGAGCGCCGGCUGCGGCACCUGGGUGGUGGGGACUGGGAAGGAAACGUGGGGGGCGUGCACCUCAUUGAGCACCUAUUUUGUCCCAAGCUUAGUGCGAUAUACCGUUUAAGCCUCAUAACAAUUGGAACGGUAGGCAUGAUCGUUGCCUUUGUCGGUUGACUCCCAGAGGGUAAGGGACUUGACCAAGGUCACCCAGCUAGUGAGAGUCCACAAGGGGCCACAUCUGGCUCUCCAAAACCCACAACACACCGCCUUGGGACUACCUCCGACCUGACUUCCUGCUUUGCCCCUCCCCGUCAGGUGUGGCACGGAUCCUGACCCACGAGGCGGGAAUCACUGACAUUGUGGUGUUACAGGCGGCCCUGCUCCAUGACACGGUGGAGGACACAGACACCACCCUGGAUGAGGUGGAGCUACACUUUGGGGCACAAGUGCGGCGCCUGGUGGAGGAGGUAACAGAUGACAAGACUCUGCCCAAGCUGGAGAGAAAGAGGCUGCAGGUGGAGCAAGCGCCCCACAGUAGCCCCGGGGCCAAACUGGUGAAGCUGGCAGACAAGCUGUACAAUCUGAGGGACCUGAAUCGCUGCACCCCAGAGGGAUGGUCAGAACAUCGAGUCCAGGAAUACUUCGAGUGGGCAGCGCACGUGGUGAAGGGGCUUCAGGGAACAAACCGGCAACUGGAAGAGGCUCUAAAGCAUCUGUUCAAGGAGCGGGGGCUGACACUCUGAUCAGUGCUUGAAGCUAUCCAGAGGCACAACUCCAGCCUGGUUCAGGCCGGACAGGAUUCAUACGCCAUCUUUUCUGUGCCUCCUGAGCUCCCUCCAUCCUUCCCAGAUAUUAGAGGCCAAACAAAGACUUGCAUUUUUUCUCAAUCUGAAGGUCUCCUGCUAACUAUGCUGAGCCCCGCGUGUGGGAAUCAGAUGUACCCAUCCAUUUCUGAUGCACUCACUGCCUCUCCCCAAGUCUUGGGUCUGUAUGCUAUUUUGCGUGGUGGGAUCUCUGGCCCCUCAGGGACUUGAGAUUAUGUAAGUACUAGUUCCUAAGACGUUAUGGAAAAUAAAAAUAACUCUGGGUUAA